AAUAAAUAUAGUUUUGCACUGUUCAUAUCUUACGUUUGACCGUUCAUUUUAUUUGUAAUUUUUUUAUGAUUAAUAUUUUUAUUGUUAUUAGAUGAUAAAACAUAAAUAGUACUUUAUAUGUGACUAAUUUAUUUUAAUUUUCUCAUAAAUUUUUUAAAUAAGACGGAUGGUCAAACAUUGGAUACGGAUUCCUAUAGCUGCAUUUAUU
rfam:Oryza glumipatula chromosome 7, whole genome shotgun sequence.